rnacentral:rRNA from 1 species
GACGAACGCUGGCGGCGUGCUUAACACAUGCAAGUCGAACGGAAAGGCCCUGCUUUUGUGGGGUGCUCGAGUGGCGAACGGGUGAGUAACACGUGAGUAACCUGCCCUUGACUUUGGGAUAACUUCAGGAAACUGGGGCUAAUACCGGAUAGGAGCUCCUGCUGCAUGGUGGGGGUGGAAAGUUUCGGCGGUUGGGGAUGGACUCGCGGCUUAUCAGCUUGUUGGUGGGGUAGUGGCUUACCAAGGCUUUGACGGGUUGCCGGCCUGAGAGGGUGACCGGCCACAUUGGGACUGAGAUACGGCCCAGACUCCUACGGGAGGCAGCAGUGGGGAAUAUUGCACAAUGGGCGGAAGCCUGAUGCAGCAACGCCGCGUGCGGGAUGACGGCCUUCGGGUUGUAAACCGCUUUCGCCUGUGACGAAGCGUGAGUGACGGUAAUGGGUAAAGAAGCACCGGCUAACUACGUG